UAUUAUUAUUAUUAUUAUUAUUAUUAUUAUUAUUAUUAUUAUUAUUAUUAUUAUUAUUAUUAUUAUUUUUAUUGGUGUUGGUAUGUUAUUGUUUGUGUUGAGAUUUACAAGCGAAUACUCUUCCUCUUCAGUGGUGGCCGCGCGGCAGAGGGAGAGCGGGGUGCCUACUGAUCAAGUCUUGCAGUGCUCUUCGUUUUAGUGUUGUUUGGUUACUUCACGCUGCUCUUCAGGGAAACACUGACGAAGCCCUCAAAGAGUCCUUCAGUCGUCUGUCUCGGAGUCCCUGGCCAGGAUGCCGUGCUGGUCCAGAAUGGCCAGCCCCGGCUCAGUCUUAAGGGUGAUGCGGUGGUCUGAGUGGUCGAUGGAGGCCAGCGUUGGGGUCUGACCGAUGUCCAGCUCACCGCCCAGACCCUCGCCCCCGAUGGACACAGAUGGGGAGGAGUUGCUGAUCAGGAUGCUCUUCUCACUCUGAAUGGAGGAGAAACAGUUGGCAAAAAGGAAGAAGCUCGAUGCAUAACGAGAGAGAAUGGGAGAGACACCUAAAAAGAGAAAAGAGGAGAGCAAGAGAGAACAAGAUUAGUGUCCAAGAGAGAAGGGAGGAAAACGUAUAUACUAUGGAUUUCAGAGGCCGUGUUCCCUCAUUUUUUUGGAAUAACUAAAACAGUGUUGGAUCAGAUUCUUUCAAACCUCCUGCUAAUUUUUGCCUCCAUUGUUUAUUAACACAAGUGAAUGAUUUAAGGCAUUUCCCUUCUAAACACAACGUGAAAUUCGGUGUCAAAGAGCUGUCCUCCAGCAUGAAUGUAUUGUGACAUCACUCCCUGGGCUACGCCCCAUAGUUACCUUCCACUUUGCUGACACGCAGUAAAUAAAAACUGAAUGCAAGUAACAGGACAGGAAUUAUGAAGAAUUGAAUUAGAAAAGAGAAAAUAUUUAUCCACUACUCUAUGCACAUGAUAAUUUAUGUAACAAUAUCUUGCUUUAAGAAAUGUCUUGAUGGCUUCGUGUCAGUACGUGAGCUGGGUCCAAAACAGUGUAUGGAUGUUCACUUGACAUAAACUUACAGGAGUAGACAACAGCUGAAGCAAGAAAACCAAGAGGGACUGUUUAUUAAGUAUUUUAUUUUGCUCUCUAUAUCUUACUAUAUGUAGAGUUUGCCAUUUCCUGCUGCGAGGAACGUGGCAUGGGAAGGCUGCCUGCAUGGAGGUUCGCCUGGGGAAACCUUUGUGAGUGGUGUCAUAGGGUGGGCAAGACACUGCUCUGCCACAGCUUAUGCACCAAUUGAUUGACUGAGUGAUCCAAUUUUUAGGCUUCAUGUGCAUUCUAAAUAUCAUUAUGAUAUCUUGAUAACGCUGGAUAAAGACAGUAAUGUUCUUAGUGGCAGGAACACCGGUAUCACCUGUCAGUGAGGUGAGGGUAACUAUGGGGCGGAGCCUAGGGAGUGACGUCACAGCGACAUCACAAUACAUUCGUGCUGGAGGACAGGUCUUCGACGUGGAACUUUGUUACUUAUAGAAGAGAGGUGCCUUAAUUAUUCACUUUUGUUAAUAAAUGACAGCGACAAAAAUUAGCAGGAGGUCUGAAACAAUCUGAACCUGAUCCAACACUUUGAAGAGUUAUUCCUGAAAAAGGAGGGAACAUGGCCUCUGGAGCUCAUAGCAAAUGCGGGGGCAUCACGGCAA